GCAGUUACGGAAAAACACACUGCCUUUUAUUGGUCCUAAAAAGAUUUGGCAGUUUACACAGUCAUCGAUAGUGACUGUAGCAGAAUGGUCAAAUAUGUAGAUACUACAGUUCUCACAGUCCUGAAUGACAAAUUGUUGUCCUGCUACUCUUCCAGGGAGUCGACCCACAGUUUCAUCUUUCAGUCCAGAAAAAGUGUAAUCUUUUGGAUCAACCUUGGCUCGCUGGUCCCAGCUGUACUGCGGCGCCUUCUCCUCGCCGGCCGCCGGCUCCUGGCUGGCUCCUUGCUGCUGCCCGCCCUGCGCCGGCUUCCUGCGCUUGGAGAAGAAGCAGCCCAUGGCGGCGCCGCCGCCUCCCCGGCAACCGAAAACCGCCGCGCGCUACAACCGCCCCGCCGCGCGCCCGCUGGCACCGCCCGGCCCGGCCCG
rnacentral:lncRNA from 1 species